rnacentral:rRNA from 1 species
GAGACCCACGCCCACAGUUGCCAGCGUACUCUCAGGAGUGACGGGUACACUGUGGGGACCGCCGCUGCUAAAGCGGAGGAAGGAAUGGGCAACGGUAGGUCAGUAUGCCCCGAAUAUCCCGGGCUACACGCGAGCUACAAUGGUUGGUACAAUGGGUAUCUACCCCGAAAGGGGAUGGAAAUCUCCUAAAGCCAAUCUUAGUUCGGAUCGAGGGCUGCAACUCGCCCUCGUGAAGCUGGAAUCCGUAGUAAUCGCGUUUCAACAGAACGCGGUGAAUAC